rnacentral:rRNA from 1 species
CCUACGGGAGGCAGCAGUGAGGAAUAUUGGUCAAUGGACGCAAGGCUGAACCAGCCAAGCCGCGUGAAGGAAGACUGCUCUAUGAGUUGUAAACUGCUUUUGUACGAGAGUAAACGCAGAUACGCGUAUCUGUCUGAGAGUAUCGGACGAAUAAGGAUCGGCUAACUCCGUGCCAGCAGCCGCGGUAAUACGGAGGAUGCAAGCGUUAUCCGGAUUUAUUGGGUUUAAAGGGUGCGUAGGCGGGCGGAUAAGUUAGAGGUGAAAUCCAGAGGCUCAACUUCGGAAUUGCCUUUGAUACUGUUCGGCUAGAGAGUAGUUGCGGUAGGCGGAAUGUAUGGUGUAGCGGUGAAAUGCUUAGAGAUCAUACAGAACACCGAUUGCGAAGGCAGCUUACCAAGCUCCUUCUGACGUUGAGGCACGAAAGCGUGGGUAGCAAACAGGAUUAGAUACCCGAGUAGUC